rnacentral:rRNA from 1 species
AUUGAACGCUGGCGGCAGGCCUAACACAUGCAAGUCGAACGAGUGGCGGACGGGUGAGUAAUGUCUGGGAAACUGCCUGAUGGAGGGGGAUAACUACUGGAAACGGUAGCUAAUACCGCAUACAAUCAGAUGUGCCCAGAUGGCAUUAGCUUGUUGGUGUGGUAACGGCUCACCAAGGCGACGAUCCCUAGCUGGUCUGAGAGGAUGACCAAACCCACUGGAACUUGGACACGGUCCAGACUCCUACGGUAGGCAGCUGUGGCGAAUAGUGCACAAUGGGCGCAAUCCUGAUGCAGCCAUGCCGCGUGUAUGAAGAAGGCCUUCGUGGUGUAAAGUACUUUCAGCGUGGAGGCGUUACCCGCAGAAGAAGCACCGGCUAACUCCGUGCCAGCAGCCGCGGUAAUUC